rnacentral:rRNA from 1 species
AAUAGAUACCCCGGUAGUCCACGCCGUAAACGAUGUCGACUUGGAGGUUGUGCCCUUGAGGCGUGGCUUCCGGAGCUAACGCGUUAAGUCGACCGCCUGGGGAGUACGGCCGCAAGGUUAAAACUCAAAUGAAUUGACGGGGGCCCGCACAAGCGGUGGAGCAUGUGGUUUAAUUCGAUGCAACGCGAAGAACCUUACCUACUCUUGACAUCCAGAGAACUUGGCAGAGAUGCUUUGGUGCCUUCGGGAACUCUGAGACAGGUGCUGCAUGGCUGUCGUCAGCUCGUGUUGUGAAAUGUUGGGUUAAGUCCCGCAACGAGCGCAACCCUUAUCCUUUGUUGCCAGCGGUUAGGCCGGGAACUCAAAGGAGACUGCCAGUGAUAAACUGGAGGAAGGUGGGGAUGACAUCAAGUCAUCAUGGCCCUUACGAGUAGGGCUACACACGUGCUACAAUGGCGCAUACAAAGAGAAGCGACCUCGCGAGAGCAAGCGGACCUCAUAAAGUGCGUCGUAGUCCGGA